rnacentral:SRP_RNA from 1 species
AGCCAGGACCCAUGCGAAUGAACGCCGCCCAACCCCGCCAGGUCCGGAAGGAAGCAACGGCAAGCGGAUGUUUGUUGCGCCGUGGUCAAUCCUGGCGGGG